rnacentral:rRNA from 1 species
AAUCGUCAUCGGUUAACUUUUCCGACUUCCACGCCUUCCACGCAGCCGCAUCCGUCCCGCCCUUUCGAUGGAGCGGAUACGCUUUAAAAAACGCAUUGAAAACCGACUUAGAGCAACUUGCAGGACAAGACUCUUUUAAAGAUUCAUUGACUGGUUCAAAAGAGUGACUGAUUCCGGUGCUAUCUGGUGGCACAGGGGGUGUGCUAUCUGGUGGCAUACCUAUGCUAUCUGGUAGCACAGGGGUGCUACCUGCUGGCAUAGGGUAAGCGUGUAAAUAUUGGAUUGAUUACCCUUUGGGCCCUUGCGCGAUUCAAUCGUCAACAGCCCAGCUUCGGCCAGUUCCGCAAUAUGUUUUCGUACCGUGCUUUUGCCAAUCUCACACUGCUCAGCAAUGUGCUGAUAACUCGGCCAGCACUCGCCUUGGUCAUUCGCAUUAUCAGCCAGCUUAAUCAACACCAGCUUACGCAGCGGAUUACCCACUUUGGCCUUCAUCGCCUUAACCAUCAAUUCCAUGCUCAUAGCACACCGCCUAACUGCGCGGCAGCCAGCAAAAAAUUGACGAAAUACCCAUGUAUACGUAACAUGUAAUCGCCUCUCUAUAGGUAUUAAGCCCGCGCUUAGUCGCCAAACUUCAGCGGGCUUUCUUAUUUCAACAACUCACAUAGCAAAGGAACUGCCAUGACUAAAGCCCACCGAACAAAAGAACUUUACGAACAAAGCCAAAGGCUUCACGCAGAGCUUGGCAAACAAGCGUAUUCACUAGACGUAUUUGGUGACGCACUGGCCGAGCGCGAAAAAUAUAAAGGAGUGUCAGGCAUUGACGCUGUACACCUGUAUAUCUGCUUAAAAUUUUGCUGGAAGCCAAGCGAUGUUCGAGCGAUGACCGAGCAAGACCUUCGAUUCUUACUGACUCAAGAAAUGCACAAUUGGACCUUGCCAAAAGAAGCGCGCGUGUAGACUCACAACCCGAAGCCUCAGCCUGUGACUUCAAACAGGCCGCCUUACAACGCAAAAUGGCAAUUUGAUUUCGAACAACAGGAUCUAAAUCAUCCAAACAGUUACCAUCAAUUUGAUUUGAUGACAUACCCCCUCCCUAUAGAUAUUAAGCCCGUGCUUAGUCGCCAAACUUCAGCGGGCUUUCUUAAACUAAAACAAGGACGUCUUAUGGCCAUACUAUGUGUUACCUAUGAUCUAAAAUCGCCCAACCAGAACUACCAAAAAGUGAGUGAAUAUUUACAAAAAUUCAAUCAUUGCAAAAAGUUAGAGUCUUUUUGGCUAAUCGAGACGAACAGUACAGCUAUUACAAUUUGUGAAAAAUUAAACUCACUUAUCGACAGCAACGACAUCAUUUUUGUUGCUCCGAUUCAGCGCAGUUGGGCGUCUGUAAACUACCCUUGCCAUGAAUGGUUGAACUCACCUGAGCGCGUUUGGUAGCACCAUAAGGGAGUCCAUCAACCUUAAAUUGGACUCUCAUUAAUUUUGCUAAAACACUAAGCAAUUUAAUUCUCAACAUUUCGCGUCCCCUCUAAGCAACAAAU